GAUGUGGAAUCAAUGUUACUACCGUUCAUUAAACUGCCAACCACAGGAAACAGCCUGGCAAAGAUUCAAACUGUAGGCCAAAACUGGCAAAAAGUGAAUAGAGUCCUCAUGGGCCCAAUGAGCAUCCAGAAAAGGCACUUCAAAGAGGUGGGAAGGCAGAGCAUCAGGAGGGAACAGGGUGCCCAGGCAUCUGUGGAGAACGCUGCCGAAGAAAAAAGGCUCGGGAGUCCAGCCCCAAGGGAGCUGGAACAGCCUCACACACAGCAGGGGCCUGAGAAGUUAGCGGGAAACGCCAUCUACACCAAGCCUUCGUUCAGCCAAGAGCAUAAGGCAGCAGUCUCUGUGCUGACACCCUUCUCCAAGGGCGCGCCUUCUACCUCCAGCCCUGCAAAAGCCCUACCACAGGUGAGAGACAGAUUGAAAGACAACACACACUAUUUCCAUUUUAGAAAGUGCAAAGGCUAGAGUUACAAAUAUGAAGGCUUCUAAACCAAUUUCACAUUCCAGAAAAAAAUACCGCUUUCACAAAACUCGCUCCGCAUGACCCACAGAACACCCAAGGUCAAAAAGAGUCCAAAGUUCAGAAAGAAAAGUUAUCUGAGUAGACUGAUGCUCGCAAACAGGCCUCCGUUCUCUGCAGCGAAGAGCCUCAUAAAUUCCCUUUCACAAGGGGCUUUUUCAUCCUUAGGAGACCUGAGUCCUCAAGAAAACCCUUUUCUGGAAGUAUCUGCUCCUUCAGAACAUUUUAUAGAAACCACUAAUAUAAAAGACACAACUGCAAGAAAUGCCUUGGAAGAAAAUGUUUUUAUGGAAAACACUAACAUGCCAGAAGUCACCAUCUCUGAAAACACAAACUACAAUCAUCCUCCUGAGGCAGAUUCCGCUGGGACUGCAUUCAACUUAGGGCCAACUGUUAAACAAACUGAGACAAAAUGGGAAUACAACAACGUGGGCACUGACCUGUCCCCCGAGCCCAAAAGCUUCAAUUACCCAUUGCUCAGUUUGAAAUUCAGCUAACCCAGCAGCUACAGUCCCUUAUCCCCAACAACAAUGUGAGAAGGCUCAUUUCUCAUGUUAUCCGGACCUUGAAGAUGGACUGCUCUGGGGCCCAUGUGCAAGUGACCUGUGCCAAGCUCAUCUCCAGGACAGGCCACCUGAUGAAGCUUCUCAGUGGGCAGCAGGAAGUAAAGGCAUCUGAGAUAGAAUGGGAUACGGACCAAUGGAAGACUGAGAACUACAUUAAUGAGAGCACGGAAGCCCAGAGUGAACAGAAAGAGAAGUCGCUUGAGCUCACAAAAGAAGUUCCAGGAUACGGCUAUACUGACAAACUCAUCUUGGCAUUAAUUGUGACUGAAAUACUAAUGAUUUUGAUUAUACUUUUCUGCCUCAUUGUGAUGUGUUGUCACCGAAGGUCAUUACAAGAAGAUGAAGAAGGAUUCUCAAGGGGCAUUUUCAGGUUUCUGCCACGGAGGAGAUGCUCUUCACGAAGGGAGAGUCAGGUACAUUGGAGGAUUCAUUGCUGUGGCCAGGGAAGGCAGAGGACAUGCAAAAUUAGUAUUUCCCUUUCUAUCUUCUAGGAUGGACUUUUUUCAUUCAGACGGCCGCUCUGGCUUAAAGAUAUGUACAAACCUCUCAGUGCCACAAGAGUAAAUAAUCACGCAUGGAAGCUGCACAAGAAGUCAUCUAAUGAGGACGAGAUCCUCAACAGGGACCCUGGGUAAAUGACGGAGCCCUCACAGGUCCCAUCUAAAAUGAGGAGGGGGUGAGAAGCUUAAUUGCUCCUUUCAAGAAUCAAAACCUUGGCAUUGUUAUUCUUAUCCCAGGGACAGCGAAGCCCCAACAGAGAAGGGGGAGGAGAGUGAAGCCCUGCCAUAGGAGGAGAACCCAGCCCACCUCAGGCCUCCUGCAAAAACACAUAGCAUAAACAAUACCAUCAGAAAGAAAAGCAGGACUGAAGCCAGCGGCCCACACAUCCACAGAGGCAGCGGGCAGAGCAAGCACAGGGCCAUCGUUCCUGCCCUUGUUUCCCAGUCUAAUUAGUCACCCAGACCUGAAAACAUAUCCUCAGGGGGUGGAGAUUUUACAAUUACCAUUGUUUUUGGUGCCCUCUCCCUUGCUUCAUCAAGCAUCAGUCAUAUAAUACCACAGAUUUGAACUCCUGCCCACAGGGGACCUCCCAUCUCCUGGCCCCUAUCAUAGGAUCACUGGGCCUACCUGCACUGUGGGGCCAAGCCCUGUCUUUUUCCCAAGCCCUCAAGCACACGCAUGAGUGUUCAUCCCGACUUGGUAGGGGGCUUUUCACCCUUACAAGAUGGCAAAAGAUUCACAUUGCUUUUUUAAAAAUUUGUUUUUCUUUUUAAAAAUCCCAACCCUUGGAUAGCAGGGAGGUGCUGGAGGGGUAGAGUCAAGAAGAGUGUGAGAACAGUAAUUUCCCAAGACUGCCCUCUGUGGGACUGUAUUUCAGAAAACACACUGGUGGGGCUACCUCUCAAUUCACAUGUACUGCCCUAGCCUCUCCCCAUCCCCGGCUGACGCUCAUCCAUAACUGCACUGUUCCAUAACAGCAGUAGAAUGUUGCAGAAAGUGCUAGGAUUCCUCCACUCCAUCUUCAAAGAAAAAGUCGCUAAUAAAUCACAUUUGGUAGGUUAGUGAAUGUUAAACACAUUAGUGAGCAAAAGAAAAUAGGAAUGAACAAGAAUUGGUCAUCUACCUAACUGAACACAAAUGAACUCUGGCAGUUCAGUAAUAGGAGGUAAAGAACCACGCUAAUUGCAGAACAGCAGCCCCCCUACCUUCCCAGGAGCAGUGUGACUGGGAAGCAGCCCCGUGUGUAUGCUGGUGCAGGUUCUAAGCAAAGUGAGCUGCCCAUCAGUUCCGAUGAGUUUGCUGAUGCUAGACAUAUGACAUCUGUUCUCUUGCUGCCUGCCCCAGUUAUCUCCCAAAGUUCUUUACUGAGAAUGAAAAGCAUCUUUCUCUGUGUGGUGACUUCAGUAGGCCAACAAAUAUUUGAGUUUAAAGCACAAGACUAGUCAUAGGCAGAGCAGCGCUACCAUUUACAAUUUGCUUACUUGAUGCUAAACCGUGGGUUUGGCAUUUUACAGUCAUAUCAUCUAGCCCAGCAAGUCAUGGAAGCAUAGUUGUUAAAAUCAUCUGACACUUUGGGAGGCUGAGGCGGGCGGAUCACGAGGUCAGGAGAUUGAGACCAUCCUGGCUAACAUGGUGAAACCCUGUCUCCACUAAAAA
ensembl:lncRNA novel transcript